GCGCCUCUGCAACCGGGGUCCCCCCGCCGGAGCUCUUCCCCGGGCCUGGGGAGCGCGCGCUCGUGGGCUUCGGGCCACCAGUGCCAGCCAAAGACGCGGAGACCAGGGAGCGCAUGGAGGCCAUGGAGAAGCAGAUCGCCAGUCUCACGGGCCUGGUACAGAGCGCCCUCCUUCGGGGCUCAGAGCCUGAAACCCCAAGUGAGAAGAUUGAAGGCUCCAACGGGGCAGCCACCCCCUCAGCACCGUGCGGGUCAGGCAGCCGCAGCAGUGGAGCCACCCCGGUGUCCGGCCCUCCCGCGCCCUCGGCCAGCGGCGCCCCUG